rnacentral:rRNA from 1 species
GAUGAACGCUGGCGGCGUGCUUAACACAUGCAAGUCGAACGGAAAGGCUCCUGCUUGCAGGGGUACUCGAGUGGCGAACGGGUGAGUAACACGUGGGUGAUCUGCCCUGCACUUCGGGAUAAGCCUGGGAAACUGGGUCUAAUACCGGAUAGGACCACAUUUUGGAUGGUGUGGUGGAAAGUUUUUCGGUGUGGGAUGAGCUCGCGGCCUAUCAGCUUGUUGGUGGGGUAAUGGCCUACCAAGGCGUCGACGGGUAGCCGGCCUGAGAGGGUGUACGGCCACAUUGGGACUGAGAUACGGCCCAGACUCCUACGGGAGGCAGCAGUGGGGAAUAUUGCACAAUGGGCGCAAGCCUGAUGCAGCGACGCCGCGUGGGGGAUGACAGCCUUCGGGUUGUAAACUCCUUUCGCUAGGGACGAAGCGCAAGUGACGGUACCUGGAGAAGAAGCACCGGCUAACUACGUG